GUAGGUGGCAAGCGUUGUCCGGAAUUAUUGGGCGUAAAGCGCGCGCAGGCGUUUCUUUAAGUCUGAUGUGAAAGCCCACGGGCUCAACCGUGGAGGGUCAUUGGAAACUGGAGAACUUGAGUACAGAAGAGGAAAGCGGAAUUCCACGUGUAGCGGUGAAAUGCGUAGAGAUGUGGAGGAACACCAGUGGCGAAGGCGGCUUUCUGGUCUGUAACUGACGCUGAGGCGCGAAAGCGUGGGGAGCAAACAGGAUUAGAUACCCUGGUAGUCCACGCCGUAAACGAUGAGUGCUAAGUGUUAGGGGGUUUCCGCCCCUUAGUGCUGCAGCUAACGCAUUAAGCACUCCGCCUGGGGAGUACGGCCGCAAGGCUG
rnacentral:rRNA from 1 species